rnacentral:rRNA from 1 species
AACAUCGCUCUUUGAAAAAAUAAUUAUAAAGAGUACUGCCUGCCCAGUGAUAAAAUUUAAACGGCCGCGGUAUUUUGACCGUGCAAAGGUAGCAUAAUCAUUUGUUCUUUAAUUGAGGACUAGUAUGAAAGGCAAAACGAAAGCUUAACUGUCUCCUUUUUAAAAAAUGAAAUUAGUAUUUUUGUGAAGAAACAAAAAUAACAAAGUAAGACGAGAAGACCCUGUCGAGCUUAAGAAAAUUUUUAUAAUAAUUUUUUAACAAGAUAAACAAAUUUUACUACAAAAAUAAAAUAAAAAUAUCUUUGGUUGGGGCAACCACGAAGAAAAAAAAACCUUCGUUUUUUAAGAAAAAUUUACAAAUUUAAAAAUUAUUAAAAAUUUAAAAGAUCCAGAAAAUUCUGAUCAAAGGAAAAAGUUACCGCAGGGAUAACAGCGUUAUUCUCUUUAAGAGCUCUUAUUGACAAGAGAGUUUGCGACCUCGAUGUUGGACCGGGGCACCCAAGAGGUGUAGCAGCCUCUAAAGGUAGGUCUGUUCGACCUUUAAAGCCCUACGUGAU